rnacentral:lncRNA from 1 species
GGAUUGACGCGUAGCGGAGCUACUUACAAGUGUACUUAAAUCUCUUCGCCGAAUAUGGGACAAUCAAGAUCGAACUUCACUUGGCUUCGACAAAUACAAAGGAGGUCUCGACACUGUCCACGAUCUCACCGGUCUAUACUCUGUGUACACGAACUGGAGGAGCAUAGAGAUCAUGUUCCACGUGUCAACUCUCCUGCCAUACGAGAAGCACGACGCUCAGAAGUUGCAGAGGAAACGCCACAUUGGCAACGACAUCGUGUGUGUCGUGUUCCUGGAAGCUGACAACACUGCAUUCUCACCUGCUUGUAUAAAGAGCCACUUUUUACAUACUUUUAUAUUAGUGCGGGUGUCUGCUAAAAUUAAAAGGCGACCCACU